CGCCAUGUAGCUUCUGAGGAAGAAAGAGGCCCGGACAUUCUUGGAAAGCAUCAGAAGAUUCCAACGGGAGAGAAGAAUUACAAAUGUAAUGAAUGUUGCAAAGACUUUAUCCAGAAACAUCAUCUUAGGAUACAUCAGAUAAUUCAUACAGAAGAGAAGCUUUACACAUGCAAUGGAUGUGAGAAAUCCUUUACCUGUAGCUCACCCGUGUAAUGCCAGUGCUGCCUAAGGAAUGCAAUUUGAAUGAAACUCAAGAUACAGAGCUCAAGACACAAUUCAAAGUCAUUUCAACGAAGUCAAGGGACAUAAAGAAGAAACAGGAACGUGAAUUCAAAGAGGACAGGAACAAACUGACUGAAAGGCAAGGAACUCCAGCAAAUGGGUCAGGAAAUAAGGAAGAUAAUGCAGGAUGCAAACAUUGAAAUCUAGAGAGAGACAUCAAGGAAUUCCUAAAGUAGUGAAGUGAGACGUGAAUCCCUGAAGUAAUGAAACGAGAAAUGAAGAACUCUGCAAGCCUAAUACAACUCAAUAGAGCCUAUCCACCAGGAUACAGGCAAACAUCAGAGUUUCAAUACAAGGCUAAGGAGCUGGAUUACUCAAAAAAAAAAUAUAUAUAUGCAUACAUAUAUACAUAUAUAUGUAUAUGUCAAACAAAUAAACUAAAUUCUUGCUGCA